GGCCAUUACAGAGUACUGAGUAGAGUUCCCUGUGCUAUACAGUAGGUCCUUAUUUAUUUUAUAUAUAGUAGUGUGUACAUCUCACUUAAUUGAGUUUCUUUACUUUUUUUUUCCUUCAAAUUAAAGCAUAGAUUUGCCUCAGAUUGGAAACUAAAGUAGUCAUGUCAUUAGCUAUGGGAUUCUUUAACCUGAAAGGCAAAAGGCAACAUGAUUGCAUUUAAGAAUGUAUUGGAUAAGAUAAAGAAUUGUGGGGUGAGACUGGAAGAAAUCUUUUUAAGAUGGCUGUAUUUUAACACCUCCUGCCUAAUAAAUUCACGUCCGAAGGGACAAAUGUGUGGAAUUUAGUCCUUCCAACAUUCCACUGAGUUAAUCAUUCUUUCUGUUCAAAGAGGCAGUGAGGAAUAAUUUGUGAGUCGCUGCAGUUAAAAAUAAAGUGCCAUAUGAGCACCCAAGGGCAGAGAUAAGGAUGGAGUUAUGGGUCUUAAGAGAAGAACCUGGCUUAGUUUACACAGGUGCCAAAUACAUGAACAAGAACACUCCAUUAAAAUUCCUCUCAAACAUUGUAUAUCUUACGAGAGUAGGUAUAUCUGUGGGCUUUCACAGUGGUCAAUCUUGCUCCAUUCAGCAUAAGCUUAAAAAAUAUUUGCAGAGAUUGACAGAAUUUAGGAUUAGCCUAAAAACCUCUCAGGUAUCCAGUGUUAAUUAUCUCUCCCUCCCUCUUUAUGCAUGCAUUAGUUUGCCCAACAAGUAACUGACCUCUGUUUAAAUAGCCACAGUGAUAUUGGGGCAGUUUAUUGCAUCUUUGGUCAGCUCUGUUUUCCUCUGGAUCCCUAGAACUGGAUGCAUUAUUCCAAAUUGGUUUUGUCCCACAAAACAGUAAAAUGAGGAACUGGGUAGGUAAGUGGCAAACAGCAUAAGUUAUUUGGACAUGUAGCUCACUCCAUAAGUAGACUAACCAAGUAAACAGGAAGCUAUUUGAGAAAUUUAACCAUAAUGUUUUUUUCAAAUGUUAUUUUUAAAUCUUUGGGAAUAUUUUCAUAAAAUAACAACUUCCAUCAUAUUACUUAGUAGAAUUACAGCAAGUUUUAGGAGCUGUCCGAGAUAAAAGAUGUUGCAUGUAAAACUAAAAUUAUACACAUAAGUAUGUAAUUGUACGCGUGUUGUAAUAAACUUAAAUCUCAGUUUGAGUUAUUUCUUACUUUAUAAUCAUUGAGUUUCUUUUCACCCAAGGUAAAGUGUGAGUAUAUUUUUAUACUUGCUGUAUUAAUUGACCAAACAAGCACUCAGUGAUAUUUUCAGAUGCCAAAAAGCAUUAUGGUGAAGACCAUGUUGAAUUAAUUAUCCAGCCAGCACUUUUAAGUUACUGUGAUCAUACACGUAUGCAUUAAGUUGAGCUUUACCCUUCUUCCCAUUAAGGACUAGAGCAGGAAUGGGCAAGCUAUAGCAAGCACUGCCUGUGUUUUUAUAGCUGGGCAGUUCAGAAGGUUGUUCACAUUUUUAAAGGGUUAUUGUGGAGGGGGGGAGGUGACCCUAUGUGACUGAGACUGUUUGUGGUUUGAAAAGCCUAAAAUGUUUCCUGUGUGGCCCCCUAUACAGAAAAAAAUGUGUGGAUUCCUGAACUAGAGCAAUUAAAGGAAAUAUUGUGAACUUAAGGCUUCUAAAAACAAGUAAUGAUCAACUGGUAACUGCUAAGCCAGAGAGCCUGCUCGUCAUCAAGGGAUCAAUUGGGACAUAGGAAAGAUGGAAGCCAGUUCAGGCAGGAGGUCAAAAUACAAAUAUCAAGAACUAGCUAAUGAAUAGGCAAAUAAUUAUAUAUCCUGGGUCAGAGCCAGUAGAUGGAAUAAUAUGCUAUCAUUAAAAUGAACUUAUAACAUGUAAAAAUGUUUCUGAUAUAUUUAUUUAGUAUAAGGCUUUAUACCCCAUGUCUUAGUGACUUAUAGGAAAAAAAUGUAAGACGACGUAUCACAGCAACUAGCGCAAAUAUAUGUCAUGUUUGAUUCAGUGCAUGUUUCUGUUGUGGCGGUGAGGGUUUUGCUUAAUCUCUUACCCGCUGACUGCUAGGUAAUAGGUUGUGCAGCAGCAUUCUCUGAAGUAUCAUGUUGGCACUACCUUUAAACAGAAACGGAUAGGUUAAGGAAAUGGUGAGUCAAGGCCUGAAUCAUGCUCAUUAUUCAAACAGAAUAAUGGAUGUGACAUUAAUAAACGGAAAAGGAUUACUUGCCUCCUCACUAGGAAAAUUUAACCUUCAAAUAUGGUACUACUAAGUAAAAGUUUUAAUGCACUGGAAUCAGAAAUUACUCUGAUUACUUUUUAUUACUUGGUAGACUAAUAAAGUUAAUCGGACAUAAUAAGCAUUGUCAAGCUAUUCUUUUAAAAUGAUGGACUCUUCAGUGAGGUGUGGGCAUUUUAUAAAGCUAUAUUGGACUUAAAAAUUGGUCACCAGUUCAUGUACAUACCAUGUGAGGUUGCCCUCCUUGGGCAGCCUUUGACUCAUCCUAAAAUUUAAAACAGGGCUGUGUACUUAAUCACAUUCACCAAAAAGAGAUGAGGGAUUAAAAGUAAUAAUUUACUGACAACUUCACAGGGGAGACUGAGUAGGGAGUUUAAAUUGCAAAAAUUAUCCUAUUUUGCUCACAAAAAUCCCAUGCAGUUAUUUCCUAAGAUUUUUUUUUAAUUGUGGUAACAGAAAUACAUGAGGUCUGUCCUCUUAAAGUGUACAGUAUUGUUUCUCCUAAGCUUUUGCUUCUCACUUUCCAGUUGCCCAGUCUUUCUAAAAAUGUCCUCCUCUAAGUCGUCUUUCUUAUGCAGAACAAUUUAGCAGUUGUGGGCAAUAUACAAAGUUAGCAGGUAUAUUCUUAUACUUGCUUAGGAAGUAGCAAAUAUAAUCAGAUUGUAUGUUCUUCUACCUUGUGGCAAGGUCCCACUGGGUAGAGGACUGAUACUACCAAGAACCUUGUAGCUGCUUGUCACAGAGGGACACAGCUAUAAAAGAAACAGAGCAUCUAACAUCUUUGAGGAGUGUCUCACUGGACUUAGCCCACUAAUUUUACCAGGUAUUUGGCAAGGUGUGACUGCAGUACAGGGUCUUUUUUUUUCCACAUCUUGAUUUAGGUCCUGGGCCUGCAAAGGCUUGACUUGCUCCAGUGCUUUCCCUCAACCCAGGCCCUUAGUCAGCAUUAUUAGAGUAAUAAAGAAUUGUAAAUUUUAAUCAUAUAUAGGUGGAGGAGAACUUAAUCUGGUUUAAUAAACUUGGAAUACAUUAUCUCUGAGCCUGAACAUCUUGAAUAAAUAACAUAAAGCAUUUGUAAAAACAGGUUGUUCUAUAAAAAGGCCUCAUUUCUAUCCAGCAUAUUUUAUUUGGCUGUGUUCCUUCCCUAUAAUAGGAUAGAACUUCAAGAAAUUCCAAAGCAGAUUUGCACUUUUGCAUAAAUUACUCAGUUUGUUGGCUGUCACGCCUCCAUAGGUUUUCUGUCUGAUUAUAUAAAAUCAGGAUAACUCGGGACUAACCAGAGAAAUGAUUCCAAGCAACCAUGAUGUAUUUGCCUUUAAAAGGCCAGUGGUUCUUAAAAAUGGGGAUUCUGGGUCAGCCUGUAGCAGAAUUACCUGUGGGGCCUGUUGAGAGUGCCUGUUUUUGACAAACCUACCAAGCUAAAAUCAAAUCAGUCCUCUAUUUUGAAAAGGUAACUAUAAUCAAAAGAAAUGUUCUCCUUUUUUGAGAAACUGAAACUGCAAUGAAGAGCUUGUCUCUUAAAAUAGUUAAGAGAAAUGCCAUAAUAUCAGGCUCCACAUUUAUGGGAUGUUUUUUAUGAAACCCAGAUCAAUAUUUUAACAAGACUUGAGGAAUGCAAAUAUUAAUAGGCUAUCUAGCAUGAACAGAUGUAAAUAGGAGUGUAUUUGAGCAACCAUGGUUUUUUAAGGGAGCUAUGAAUUUACAGUGCAAUCCUACAGGGAAAGAAGGGAGAGAAAACUGCUAUUUUGAGCUGCACACAGAUGAACUGCAUCACAUCUGAGAUUUGAUAGUCCCCUCUCCUCACUAUUCUUGUUGCACAGGAAAACUACAUGAUUAAAGGUAACUUGAUGUAAAAAAGAUACUUAACUGUAGAAGUCAGGGAAUCAUGAUAACACUUUCCAAGAUUGGGGGUGUGGGUGUGGGGGGGGGGUAUGUGUGUGUCCGGGGCGGGUUCACCUGGCCAGAGGAGUUAAAAUAACAAUGGGAUUAACAAUGUUCAAGAAAAUUUGUAUCAAAAAGGAAGUUAUUUGCAUGAUGGGUUCAACAUGAACAAUCUGAUACUGCUACCCAAGUGACCCUCUUUGGUAGGCUUUAAAAAUUUUUUUUAACAGUUACAUUAGUAAUCUGUGAACCCAACCAUUAACUGGAAAAUAGUCGAGGGGAAUCCAGGUGCAAAAAGCAGGUUCUUUGUACUUAAGGAAUACAGCUUCAAAACACCUCCAAAGUAUGGAUUAAAAUAGCAAUUCACCUUAUCACCUACCCCGGACUAAGAGCCCCACCUAUAAGACUUCCCCUGAUUCCCCAGGGAAGAGGGUCACAGUUCUUGAGGUGCUGUCAUGCUGUUUUUCCCGUUUCCCUGGCAAAGAUAAAGCUAUUGUUUUUUUCCUCAAAAAAAAAAAAAAAUCCUCAGAAUCCUUCCUUUUCUGAUGGUUUCAUGGAACCAAAUUAUGGUAAGAUUCUUUUGUUUCAAGCUCCCAGAAAGUAAGCUUAAAUGGCCUUAACCUGAGUUUUCUCCAGAAAUACUUACCUCGAUCCCAAAGACAUAGAGAUUAAUUUUGUGCCGUGACCUUUUGACAGCCCCAUAAAGCCUAUGAUCCCUUCUCAGCAUGCUGUAAAUGUGCUUUACGUAGUGCACACACAACUCUGAAUUCUGUCUGCGGACUCGUGGUUAGAAAUCCUUUGACAGGGGUCACAGUUCUGAGAGAAGGCUACGUAAUGAGGCCUGUAACUGCUGUUACCCCAGCACCUGUUCUGGAACCCCUUCUCUCAACUGACUUCGGAGAAACUAGCUCGCUUCAAAGUGGCUGAGUUGAGAAGCCACAGUGGGGAAUUUUUCUUUAGUUCUAAACGGAAAGAGAAAGAAGUUAGCCCUCUUCAGUCUGACCAGUCCAGAGGAGGGAGAGGUUCUGUCACCCAGUUUUGGCCUUUUGUGGAAGUAGCCCCUUUCACUGUAUACAUGAUAAACGGGCUUAAUCAUAACUAUGGACACACCCAAGACCCCCUUUCUCUUCAUCGAGAUCUCGCUCGCUUUUGGUGGGGCGGUAUUUGCCCUCAUGACCUCUACCAAGCCGUCCAAACAUUGGCUUCCCCGUCUGGAAGAGCGAGCUGUGGGUGUCUGCGCAGCAGAUUUAGGCUCGAGGCCUGGCCGUCGGCCCAAACGAGUCGGGACCUGGAGUUUUCGUCAGGGUGGCCGGCUAGCCAGCGCCGUCAAGAGCGUAACCGGCCCGCUUCCUGCGUCGCAGGGGCACCGCCCUCGCGGCCGGGGGAGGGGUCGGCGCCAGAAAGCCGCUCUCCCCUCCCCAGAGCCUUCCUGGCGGCCGGCGGCCAGCGGCCAGCAGUACUGCAGGGUCGGAGGCGGGGAGGGCCGUCCCGCGCAGCCGCUGCGCCGCUGGAGCAGCCGCCCCGCCCGCCUCGUCGCGGAGGAGCCCCAGAAACGCACUUCCACCGCGGCCGAGCCCACUUCCGCCUGCUGCUUCCUGGGGCCGCCAGGCCUGAGCUUUAGCUUCUCCGGAAUUCAUUAUACUGCUUAACACCCUGUAAAGCCACCCUCUCCUCGUUCUUUCCAAAACCCGUAUAAUGCCGCUUCCACUUCGUGGCGCACACUGCUCAAACUGAACCCGGCGCAACCGCCAUCUUCGGAAAUGCUGGUAGCUGUCGGUAUGUCCCUCGUUCUGUGUGCAGAGCGGAAAUGACUGCUCGUUAUUCUCGAUGCUCUACUAGGGGAGGCCAGAGCAAUAAUGUCCCUGCUAUGGGAAGGACCUGCUUUUGAAUUCUGAGUCCCCUAUCACCUAUUAGCAGCUGUGUCCAAAUUUAAAAGGUUACUUAAUUUCGCCGAGUCUCUUAUAGAUGGAUCAAACGAGGUAAACCAUACAGAGCCCUUAGAACAAUACCUGGCAUAGAGCGGUAUCUAGCAUAAAGGUUAAGUAAAAACAAGGAAAAGUUAAAAGGAUUUUUCGAGCACCUAUUUGCUCAAUAUUAUGUUGGUUUUGUUAGGCAAAGAUUCUCUCCGUCCCCAUAGGAAUGGCCUCCCACCUGAAAGAACUGGUGUUUGUCUAAUGGUUUCUCAGUAUGUUUACCAGCUCCCAGGCAUCCUUUAAAGCUCCUGGUUCCUAAGGAAGUUUCUGCUCGUGUUCAACGUGACUUGCCCCUAUUGCAGAGCUUUGUACUGGAUGAGUAUUCUGUAGAGAUGGUGGACAAGCCUACGUUUGGUAUGACUGUAGCAUUAACCUUUUUUUUAUUUCACAGGGAAAAUGGAGAUGAAUGAAGAGCUAGACAGGCCUCUUCCCAGGUACAUUUUAGGCUGCUGCCUGACAGCAGGCCAUAAUGCUUCCGAACCCUGGCCCCCUACCAUUUGCAACCAGGUGCAGAUUGGAGGCCGCGGGGUGGAGGCUGGGGAGCGGGGGUUGAGUUUUGAAAAAAAGAUCAAGAGAAAGAUGCUAGUUUUUUUUUUUUUUUUUUAGUUGCGCUAAUGACUCUAGUAGUUGUGCUUCUUGUGAUAACUUAUAAGGGAAUGAUAGAGAAUUAAACGUACAAAAGGUUUAUUAUUUUUCACCAAAAAAUGGAGAAACUCCAAACUUGUGACCAACUCAUUCAUGAUCCACUGAGUCUCACUGAGUCUUGACAUGUUGAAGAAUAAUUAGAACUUUACUCUUCCGGGCUGAGUUGUUAACUUGUUUCGAUUGAUUUCUGCAUUCCCAGCAGGACUCUUUUAAGUCCUUGCCCCUUCAGACCCUAACUAUUCUCACUGCCGCAUAACUUGAGACUGGAUGAUACCUUCAAACACCACAGUUCCCACUGUGGAGUGAAAUUAUCUGAUCCUUACACCGGUUAAAGAGGUGGAGGUUCCUUAUACUUAAGAACUUUUUUUAACUUAAGUUAUACUACAAUAAAAAACCAAAAAUGAAAUGACAUUUUUAAUGUUGAAUGGCAUGGAAAGGUGAGCAUCUUGUAUAGUUUGAUGAAAUCACAUGUACAAGGUAAUCUCAUUUUUGUAAAAAAAAUUAUAAGAAUAUGCAUCAAAAUGGUGAUUUUCCUCUUUAUGUUUAUUUUUUUAAUGUUCUGCAGUUAUAAUAGUGGAAAAUAAAAGUUAUUUUGUAAACUGUCUAUGUGACUUAGAUGAAUAUUCUGUUAGCUAACUCCUCAGUUUCCAUAGAGGUAAACAAAUAAUGUCAGUUUGAUAAAUCAAGAAAUAGAAACAUAAACAUUAUUUCAGAAUCUGGAGUCACCUCUAAAAGAUACUGCCUCUUGAGGCUGAGGAUGGGGUCAUGUUCCUUUUCAUUUUAAGCUCUUGGAUAUAAGUGUGGGGUUUUUCUUUUCUUUUUAAAAAAUAUAUGUACAUUUUACUUCGCUAAAUAAAUUUUAAAAGGUAAAAUAUAUCUCAGUGUGUAAUUUUUUUUAAAUUUAUUUUCAUCCAGGUUACCCUACCCUUUCCAGGUUACUCUUCCCUUUCCCUUCACGCUCUGCCCUUCAACAGGCAGGGCAAAGAGAAAUUUGAAAACCUGGCUGAAAGGCACUUUGAAUAGAAAUCAGUAGAGACAAAUUACAAAUUGCUCAGUAUAAAGCAUGAGGGUUUUGUUUUUGUUUUUAACUGAGGGGCUAAAAAUACAGCUGCUUAAUUGUCAUAAACUGCAUCGUACUCUUUCUGGGAUGGCCUUUUGGCUUGAAUCCGUUACUGAUUAGGUAUCUUGUAGCACUGUGGGAACUGCAUUAUCAGAACAGUUUUAAAGUCACAGCUUGCGUAUUUGGUGCCCUCUAGUGCACUAUUUUCAAAUGACAAAAGCAUAGUUUAUCCAUGCCACGCUGUUAACUGAAGAGGAUAAAAUGUACAUUUCAAUCCACCUUCCCAGUGUGAUUGAUCUUGUUUCUUUUCCUGACAUCCAAAGACACUGAUUCCUCUCUGCACAUACACAUUAUUUCAUAUCAUGACACUCACUAGGCUGUGACCUUGCACUGACUAGUUCCUUAAUCUCUGGGCUUCAAUUUCCUCAUCUGUAAAACGAGGAUGAUAAUCGUCAGAACUGUAAUGUGGACGCCCUGCACACACGGGGGGCGCACUCACUGCUAGCUAUCUUUUUUUUACAUUUAAUAGAUCCAGUCGAUACUAAACAUGCUUGAAGACAGUAAUCAGUCUUGACUCAGGAGACCUUAUCUAGUUUUCCUGCAUUGACAGACUUGGACUUCGGUGCUUAACAUCACUACCUCCUAGAUUCCCCAAGAGCCCAGUUACCUGAAGAAAGCACUGGGUGCUUCUGACCCCGUGAAUGCCUCUGGAGUCUUUGGUCUUGUAUGUAAUAAAUGUCCCCAUGCUUAUU